AAUUUUUCGUAAACAAAAUUUAAUACAACCAUAUAGUCAAGUAAUAAUGGUUAAAAGACAUUUUAUUAGAUACAACUUUUAAAAAAUUAAACUAUGCAAGAAGUAUAUUUAAACAAAACAUGUAAGUAAGUAUUCACGUGCUACAACUUAACUAAGAACAAUUAAAUACAAAGCAUUCUUUCCACUAUGAAGACUCUGGAGCCUCUAAUUGAAAGCAAAUGACCUUAGGUCUAUACUAGUUGUAAAGCAGAUUAUACUUUUGUUCAACUCUAAAUUUGUAUUGUCUUAGAGCUCCAACAACUCUCAAUAAAAAUUUAAAUAAAGAAACCUUGGGGGAGGGGUGAUAGGGAAGGGGAGAGUAAGUGCUUUUUCAAAAAGGUAAGUUGGUGCUUAUUACACAAUUUAAGAAGGGGAAGUUUAUUUACUCUAUAGGAAACAAAUAUGAACCUUAUCUAAGGUAAGCUUCAUUUAGAUUGAAAAAAAAGUUGAAAUAGCACUAGAGAACUUAAGGCACAUAAACAAAUUCAGGUGCAGUUAUUUUGAAACCAUUAAAACAAAUUCUUUUCUUUGGAACAAUAUAUAAAAUAAGUUAUGAAUGUUGCUGUUUUUAUCAGCACUAGGAAAAUUUAAUAUCUAAGGCAAUCACACAAAUGUAAAAUGUUCAUAUAAAACAUUAAAAAAUGUCUAAAGUGUCUCUGGAAUUAUUCAUUCACACUCCUGGCUCAAAUGGUUUCUGGUGCCUAGCAUUAGAUGUGACAAUAAUGAUAGCUAGCUAGUCAAACCUACUGCCUUAAAGAUCAACCAAUUUGCUCCAUUCUGGUUACUUGGCAUGGUAAAUUUAUUUAACUAAAAAGAAUAAUGGGGUGAGGUGAUGUAAACCUGGCUUUCAAUAAGAUGCACAACAAAUUCUAAUAAGGCCAAAACUCUGUUGAGGUUAACUGGUGUCUUGAGUUUACUAAAAUAAAGGCAGUCCAUAGGAAGCCUCAAAGAGACAUUAUCUUACCACUUGGCACCACAAAAACACCAAGCUCUCCUCUCUGAAAAUACAGGCCGGGGGUGGUGGCUCACGCCUGUAAUCCCAGCACUUUGGGAGGCCGAGGUGGGCGGAUCACGUGGUCAGGAGUGAUCCGUCUCUACUAAACCCCGUCUCUACUAAAAAUACAAAAAAAUUAGCCGGGUGUGGUGGCACGCACCUGUGGUCUCAGCUACUCGGGAGGCUGAGGCAGAAUCCCUUGAACCCGGGAGGUGGAGGUUGCAGUCAGCUGAGAUCGCGCCACUGCACUCCAGCCUGGGCGACAGAGCAAGACCCCGUUCUCCCCCCUUCCCCAAAAAAAAAAAAAAACGAAAAAAAUACAGUUUGAAGUAGAUGUCGUCUUUUCCACAUAUAAAUCUCAAGACAUAAAAGGCACACACAAUUCAACUCCUCUCUUUUCAUAUAUGGGUUCUCACAGCAAUUUAAAAAAUCUAUUGCCAUAUCCAGACAACAGGAGAAAAAAAAAAUACCUGGUUUGCUUAUUGACAAAAGUGGUGUAAUUGAACCUUUGUCUUUCCUGAGUUUCAAAAAGGCUAUUUGACAGUAGAGAUACAUAAACAAUUCAUAUUCAGUAAGAUAAAAUGUAUCAGUCCACAAAACAUUUUCAUCUUUUUAAGUAUAAAAGAAUCAAUGUUCAACCACCACCAUGUGUGAAGCCCCUUUUUCCAAAUUAAACUUACUCUAGAAUCAUGAAUUGAAGAUUAUUCAGUCAUGGCACUUUACACCCCAAACGAGCAAAAGUAACAAGUUAAUACCCUCCCUGAGUAUUUACAUCAUCUUAUCACCUGGUUUAAAUGGAGUAAAUACCUAUAUUUCAAUCAUCUAGGAAAUAAAAAGGUUACUGAAGAUCCAAUACACUAGUAUUUCAUACCUGUGCAGUAAAGUCAGUGGGAAGAUUACAGUAGAAAAGGAGGAAGUUCUACUGUUGUAAAAAUUAGACCACUUUUGUAGCUGACUCACAUAGAGGAAAAACAGAAAAUGAUUAAAGUUCAUGAAAAAAAAACUAUACUUUUCUGUUCUACAAAGCAUACCUUUGAAUUCCCUUUCCAACUGAGGUAUCACAGCUGGGUUUAGCAAACUCAUCUCUUCUGACCUUGUAAAACUAAAUUGUCAUAAAGAUUCUGAUUAUACAUAAGUCAUCGUUACUAAUACUCAUCAUGUACUUUCAAAUGUAAAAAGUUCUAGAAAUGCCCAAAUAAAAAAAAAUUCCAGAAUUGAAUUUAGCAUGGUCAACUAAUUUUUACUUUAUGUGCUUUUUUGCUGAUCAUCACAGACUGCUAAAAUUCAUGGUGUUUGGUAUAUAUGUGUGUAUACAACCAUACUAUCUACAUACAUACACAUGUACAUAUAUAGAUUCUAAACCAAAGGUUCAUAUGAGCAUCACCUAUCAAAAGAAAAAUCUUUAUGUGAUGAGAGAAUGAAUACAAUCUGACACCAAUUUGGUUGAUAUACCCCUUUUGAUAUAUUAAUUCUACUCUAAAAUUCUUUUUUAUUUUAUCAAGUCUAAUGCUAUUAUUUAUCAAGAAUUAGUAAAGGAAGAUAAAUAUUAAAAAAUUAAAAUAUUAAGUUGGGUAACUUUAAAAAUAGUUAUUUAAAUUUUCUAAGAUUCAACCUAAGUUCUUGGUGGCCUUCAAUAUAAAUUUUAAGUACUUAAUUUAUGUAGUUUUAAAUUAUGUAGAGAAAAAAUUAAUAUUGGUGUGAGGUCUGUGUUUAAAAAAAUUCUGUUUUUCAGGAUUUCAUUUCAAAUUUACUAUAAUAAACACAUGGAUAUUAAAAUAAAUGUAUAACAAAAUAAAAGUAAAUAGUUAAUACUUUUUACAACAGAAAAAUACUAGAAUAUAAAGUUGUCUUGAGAAAGUCUUUUUUUAUGUGAAGUCCUAUAUUCAUGAAAUGGACAUGAUCUUACAAAUACACAUGAAAAUAACAACUAUCAUUUGUAGAAUCCUCAGCAUUUACAAAAUACUUUUUCACACAUUAUCUCAUUUACUGUAAAGAAUUUCUUAACUAAAUAAUUCUAUUAUCUAUAAGAGUAUAAUGCAGAUGUUUACUCUAAAAUUAAAGUACAAGUAUCCAAACUGUACCUACAUUCUUUCAACUAAGAGGAUAGAAAAUUGUUUUCUGAAUUGUUGUUAUCACAAAAUGGUAUCUAUCAUUUUAAAAUUAUGAUUUGAAAAAUAAAAAUUCCCUAAAAAUUUUUAAGUUUUUUAGAGUUUUCCUCAGAAUGUAGAUUCUAGCUAAGCAUUAAAGUUUAAAAAAUGUCUAUCUGAAAUCUCUGAAUCAUUCUAAAAUGAGAAAACAAUGUAGCUUACCAAUGUUAGGCUUUUUAUUUCAACCUUGGUUUUAACAGAAAUCUGGUGACACUUUAAUUACAUAU
rnacentral:lncRNA from 1 species